UACAGAGGGGGCAAGCGUUGUUCGGAAUUACUGGGCGUAAAGGGCGCGUAGGCGGCCUUCUAAGUCGAACGUGAAAUCCCCGGGCUCAACCCGGGAACUGCGUCCGAUACUGGAAGGCUUGAAUCCGGGAGAGGGAUGCGGAAUUCCAGGUGCAGCGGUGAAAUGCGUAGAUAUCGGGAAGAACACCCGUGGCGAAGGCGGUUCUCUGGGACGGUACUGACGCUGAGACGCGAAAGCGUGGGGAGCGAACAGG
rnacentral:rRNA from 1 species